GCCCAAGUGGUGAAAUUGGUAGACACGCAAGGUUGAGGGCCUUGUGGACGAUUUAGUCCGUGCUGGUUCGAGUCCAGUCUUGGGCA
rnacentral:tRNA from 1 species